rnacentral:tRNA from 2 species
UCGGGUAUGGUGUAGCGGUAACAUCGUUGACUCUCACUUCUUUCUAAAGAGUGACUGCUUUCUCAACAGCCCCGGAUUCGACUCCCGGUAUCCGAG